rfam:Triticum aestivum genome assembly, contig: Triticum_aestivum_CS42_TGACv1_scaffold_576929_7BL
AAAGUACUCCCUCCGUCCAAAAAUUCUUGUCUUAGAUUUGUCUAGAUAGAGAUGUAUCAAGUCACAUUUUAGUAUUAGAUACAUCAGUAUCUAGACAAAUCUAAGACAAGAAUUUUGGGGCAGAGGGAGUAUUUA